AUGGAGGCCAAGGCGGGGAAUUCGGGCAUGCUGUACCACGAGCUGCAGGUGCGGCAGCUCUGCGGGCUCCAUGCCCUCAACGCGGCGCUGCAGGGGCCGUUCUUCAGCGAGUCGGACCUGCUGGAGAUCGCGGCGGACCUCGACGCCCGCGAGCGGAAGGUGAUGUCCCGCGCCGGCGGCGUGGGGGCGGGGGAUUUCCUAGCCGAGGGCCAGGGAUCCCACAACGUCUCCAACAACGGGGACUUCAGCGUGGAGGUUUUGAAGAGGGCACUAGAGGUAUGGGACCUCCAAUUUAUCUCCAUGUAUUCCCAAGCUGCAGCGGGAUCCCAAUCCAAGCCUGAACUGGAAACUGCCUUCAUCUGCCACUUCCAGAAUCACUGGUUCUGCAUUAGGAACGUGGAUGGGGAGUGGUACAACUUCGAUAGUCUGUACCCGGCCCCUGAGUACCUCUCUCAGUUUUUCCUCUCAGAUUACCUUGACAACAUGAGGGGUCCUGGCUCAAACAUCUAUGUGGUAAGGGGCACUUUUCCCAGGGACUGCCCUUCUGAUAACAACGAUUUUGGCCGGUGGCUGCGUCCUGAGGAAGCCAGGACCAUUACACAUUCACGCUUCAAGGCGCAGAAGAAACAGGGGAGCAACACUGCAAUAGUGAUUGCCUCGAGGAGGUAUCUCACAGUGGGGGUAGCUGCUGGCUUGAGGGGCCUUGAAGUUCCAGGCACCAAGACUGAAGUACCUCGUCAGCAACCUUACGAACAACAGGGCAUGACUAUGAUGCAAGAGGAGAGUGAUGACGAGCUGAAGGCGGCAAUAGCUAUUAGCUUGAUGCCGUUUGAAGCUCCAGCGACCAGUUCUCAACCAGGCCAAGAAGAGAGAGAUUUGAUCAGCAAGGACGCCACCAUGGAGGAACCUGGCUCCAGCAACUCUGAAGGGCUGAUGAAAGAAGAUUAG
rnacentral:rRNA from 1 species